UCCUGAUAUUUCUUUGUAAAUGAAAUCGCAAGGAUUUGUUGGGAGCAAGCUCAUAAACAAGCAAUCUGUUGAUUCCUUCAUUGCAGUAUCCAAUCAGCUUAACAAGAUGUCGAUAAUAGAUGCGGCUAANNNNCUCCUCCUCAAAUUCACUUGUGCUCAAUUCUUCACCUAGAUAUUUAAGCUUCUUAAUUGCAACGAUCCCAUUAUUUCCGAGAGAGCCCUUAUAUACUAUACCAAAACC
rnacentral:misc_RNA from 1 species